rnacentral:rRNA from 1 species
UACGUAGGGGGCAAGCGUUGUCCGGAUUUACUGGGUGUAAAGGGCGCGUAGGCGGGUUUGUUAGUCAGAGGUGAAAUCCUACAGCUCAACUGUAGAACUGCCUUUGAUACUGCAAUCUUGAGUUCGGAAGAGAGAGGCGGAAUUCCAGGUGUAGUGGUGAAAUACGUAGAUAUCUGGAAGAACACCAGAGGCGAAGGCGGUCUCUUGGUCCGUAACUGACGCUGAGGCGCGAAAGCGUGGGGAGCAAACAGGAGUAGAAACCCUAGUAGUCC